CCAUAGCCCUGAUGGGAACGGCAUCCUUUUUUGGCAUUGCGACGCAGGCCUGAAUCAAGAUAAACUCCCGUCGAUCGCAAUGACAAAAAAGAUAUAGUGGACAGCAGGUUCCCGG
rnacentral:sRNA from 1 species